UACGUAGGGUGCAAGCGUUUAAUCGGAAUUACUGGGCGUAAAGCGUGCGCAGGCGGUUUUGUAAGUCUGUCGUGAAAUCCCCGGGCUCAACCUGGGAAUUGCGAUGGAGACUGCAAGGCUGGAGUCUGGCAGAGGGGGGGUAGAAUUCCACGUGUAGCAGUGAAAUGCGUAGAGAUGUGGAGGAACACCGAUGGCGAAGGCAGCCCCCUGGGUCAAGAUUGACGCUCAUGCACGAAAGCGUGGGGAGCAAACAGG
rnacentral:rRNA from 1 species